rnacentral:ncRNA from 1 species
AUAAAAGUUAUGAUGGGAAGAGUAGUCCGGAGAUAUGUUAUAGAGAGCCGAUGGUUGGUGGAAAUCGGUGCAGAAGGCCGGAUGAACAUGGUCCUUGAACUGUGCAGGUGAGGCAAAUGCUUAGCCUGUGCCGGAAGCCCCCGUUAGGAAGGUAAAGUGAUGAUGGUCACUUAGCGAGGUUUUUACUGUGAAGUAAAAAUGAAUUAGGGUGGUAACACGAUGCUCUCGUCCCUUUG